AGCAGCCGCGGUAAUUCCAGCUCCAAUAGCGUAUAUUAAAGUUGUUGCAGUUAAAAAGCUCGUAGUUGAAUUUCGGGAUUGACGUGAUGGUCAUGCCUUAAGGGGUAUGAACUGUUGCUGUUGAUUUCUCACCUUCUGGAGAAACUUGAUGUCCCUUAUUUGGGUGUCUUGCGGAUCCAGGACCUUUACCUUGAAAAAAUUAGAGUGUUUAAAGCAGGCAUUUUUGCUCGAAUACAUUAGCAUGGAAUAAUAGAAUAGGACGGCAUGGUUCUAUUUUGUUGGUUUCUAGGAUCACCGUAAUGAUUAAUAGGGAUAGUUGGGGGCAUUAGUAUUCAAUUGUCAGAGGUGAAAUUCUUGGAUUUAUUGAAGACUAACUACUGCGAAAGCAUUUGCCAAGGAUGUUUUCAUUAAUCAAGAACGAAAGUUAGGGGAUCGAAGACGAUCAGAUACCGUCGUAGUCUUAACCAUAAACUAUGCCGACUAGGAAUCAGACGAUGUUAAUUUUUUAAUGACUCGUUUG
rnacentral:rRNA from 1 species